GAUGAACGCUAGCGGCAGGCCUAACACAUGCAAGUCAGGGGUAACAUGGAAAGCUUGCUUUUCUGAUGACGACCGGCGCACGGGUGCGUAACGCGUAUACAACCUACCUUUUAGCGGGGAAUAGCCCAGGGAAACUUGGAUUAAUGCCCCAUAGUAUAUAGACUUCUCCUGAAGUUUAUAUUAAACAUUUAUGGCUAUUAGAUGGGUAUGCGUCCUAUUAGUUAGUUGGUAAGGUAACGGCUUACCAAGGCAGCGAUAGGUAGGGGUCCUGAGAGGGAGAUCCCCACACUGGUACUGAGACACGGACCAGACUCCUACGGGAGGCAGCAGUGAGGAAUAUUGGACAAUGGGCGAGAGCCUGAUCCAGCCACGCCGCGUGCAGGAAGACUGCCCUAUGGGUUGUAAACUGUCUUUUACAGAGGAAGAACCCACCCCCACGUGUGGGGGUUUGACGGUACUCUGCGAAUAAGGAUCGGCUAACUCCGUG
rnacentral:rRNA from 1 species